CGGAGAGAUUGGGCCACCAGAUGGUGCUCCAUGCAUAGUAUUGGACGGCAGCGAUGCAAUCUCUAACCCCACCAAUGCAUUGCUUCAAACGGUCGAGCAAUCAGGUCAGUUGAGGGCUGCAAAUGGUGAAAGAAGUUUCGUUGAACUAUCCAAGAGCGGAAUUGCAGAACAGAGGGAGCGAACGAGGAAAUUGAAGUUGAAGGAUUUGGUGGGCCAUUUCCAUCUACCCAUACAAGUGGCCUCACAGAGACUAUCAGUAUGUUCUACUGUUCUUAAGAAGAUAUGUAGACGCAAUGGGUUGAAACGCUGGCCUUAUAGAAAGGUGAAAAGCUUGGAUAGGCGCAUCAAUACAUUGCAGAAGAUCUGUGGAGGCGAUGAGAGUUUGAGGGCUGAAAUCGAACGACUCCGAAAUGAGCGGGCCCAAAUCUGCGCCGGCAUUGCUGGCAAAGAUUGAGAGAUCAUUUUCACCCUUUAUAAUAACAAUAAUAAUAAAGCAGCAUUAUGUCUAGAAAAUUAAAGCGAGUUUCUAAAUAAUCGUAUCAUUAUUGAUAAAAACUGCAUUUUCAUCUUAGGCCUGGUCCACUCAGUUUAUGGCUGGUACAGCUCUUGAUUGGGCUUGAAUGUCAUUUUCAAUUAAUAUAUAUACAUAUAUAUCUAUAUGGUUUGAUAAUAAUAGCCCUUGCUCUUAUCUAUGACCGUGUUAGGUCACAUGAUCUUCCUGGUGUGGGCCACUUUUUGUAUGGCUCCA